rnacentral:lncRNA from 1 species
GUUAUCCAAAACCAUCCCUCUUCUCUCCUGCGUGUCCUCCCACCAUCAGUAGGUUGCUAUUAGAAAUUCAUUUCAUUGCCUCUAUUUUAUUAUUUUGAAUAACACACUAUUCUAUUGAAAAGUAUUUUAGAAAUACAAUUCUUGCCGGGCCCAGUGGCUCAAGUCUGUAAUCCCAGCACUUUGGGAGGCCGAGGCGGGUGGAUCACGAGGUCAAGAGAUCGAGACCAUCCUGGUUAACAUGGUGAAACCCCGUCUCUACUAAAAAUACAAAAAAUUAGCUGUAUGUAGAUGGCACAUGCCUGUAAUCCCAGCUACUCAGGCGGCUGAGGCAGGAGAAUUGCCUGAACCCAGGAGGCGGAGGUUGCAGUGAGCCGAGAUCGCGCCAUUGCACUCCAGCCUGGGUAACAAGAGCGAAACUCCGUCUCAAAAAAAAAAAAAAAGAAAUACAAUUCUUAUAAUCAAAUUUGCAACUUUAAUGUUUUGACAAGAGCUAUGUCCCAAAAUAUCUUGUUGAUAAAAACACCGAAAUAUCUGUGACAUUCUGAGAGACACAAUGUAAAACACAAUCAGGACACAAUGUGUCUAGGUUUUAUUUUUUUCUUUUUCAUGUUUUCCAAGGCAUGAAGAGUACAGUAGAGAAGAGAGGAGUCAUGGAUGAGGGAGAGCCUUCAGCCAGGAAAGAAUCCAUGAAGGACGAGGGAAAGCGUGUCCAGCAGUUGAGGAGACAGAGACUCGCUAUUUAGGCUGUAGUGCAGUGGCACAGUCUUGGCUCACUGCAACCUCUGCCUCCCGGAUUCAAGUGAUUCUCCUGCCUUGGCCU